rnacentral:rRNA from 1 species
CAGCCAUGCCGCGGUGAAUACGUUCCCGGGCCUUGUACACACCGCCCGUCAAACCACCCGAGUUGAGGAUACCAGAAGUCGCUGGCCUAACCGCAAGGGGGGAGGCGCCGAAGGUAGACUCAGUGAGGGGGGUUAAGUCGUAACAAGGUAGCUGUACCGGAAGGUGCGGCUGGAUCACCUCCUUUCUAAGGAGA